GAUGAACGCUGGCGGCGUGCCUAACACAUGCAAGUCGAGCGAGAACCGCUGGAAUGACACUUCGGUAGAAUGAAAGCGGGGAAAGCGGCGGACGGGUGAGUAACGCGUAGGUAACCUGCCCCAUACACAGGGAUAGCCUAGGGAAACCUGGAUUAAUACCUGAUGAAGCAACUGGUCGCAUGACCGGCUGCCAAAGAUUUAUCGGUAUGGGAUGGACCUGCGUCUGAUUAGUGAGUUGGUGGGGUAAUGGCCUACCAAAGCGACGAUCAGUAGCCGACCUGAGAGGGUGAUCGGCCACAUUGGAACUGAGACACGGUCCAAACUCCUGCGGGAGGCAGCAGUGGGGGAUAUUGCACAAUGGGCGGAAGCCUGAUGCAGCAACGCCGCGUGAGCGAAGAAGGUCUUCGGAUCGUAAAGCUCUGUCCUGGGGAAGAACAAAUGACGUACCCCGGGAGGAAGCCCGGCUAACUACGUGCCAGCAGCCGCGGUAAACU
rnacentral:rRNA from 1 species